rnacentral:rRNA from 1 species
UACGUAGGGAGCAAGCGUUGUCCGGAAUCAUUGGGCGUAAAGCGCGCGUAGGUGGCUUCGUAAGUCCGUUGUGAAAGUCAAAGGCUCAACCUUUGAAUGCCGAUGGAUACUGCGGAGCUAGAGUACGGAAGAGGCGAGUGGAAUUCCUGGUGUAGCGGUGGAAUGCGCAGAUAUCAGGAGGAACACCAAUAGCGAAGGCAGCUCGCUGGGACGUUACUGACACUAAGGCGCGAAAUCGUCGGGAGCGAACAGG